rnacentral:rRNA from 1 species
UACGUAGGGUGCAAGCGUUAAUCGGAAUUACUGGGCGUAAAGCGUGCGCAGGCGGUUAUAUAAGACAGGUGUGAAAUCCCCGGGCUCAACCUGGGAACUGCAUUUGUGACUGCACAGCUGGAGUGCGGCAGAGGGGGAUGGAAUUCCGCGUGUAGCAGUGAAAUGCGUAGAUAUGCGGAGGAACACCGAUGGCGAAGGCAAUCCCCUGGGCCUGCACUGACGCUCAUGCACGAAAGCGUGGGGAGCAAACAGG